AAUUGAGAUUCAGAGAUAUUUAUGUAAGUUGCCCGGGAUCAUACUUCUUCUCACAAGAUUCACUGCCUACCACAACCUGUUCGUCUGUUUUGCUCUUCCAUGGAGCAUAUCCCUUCUUUUGUUCCAGCAUCCAGCCUACUCCACAGUUUUUCAACAAUCCUGCCUCGUCCAGUGGUCACUCGUGGGGAUACCAUUUCUCUUGCCAGGAAUUGGUGUAGGGAUGAGUAUGUGACACAGUUCUGGACUAUGAGUCACAAGAGGAAGUUAGCUGGAAGGCUUCUAGAAAAGAGUUUGUCACUCUGGGAAGUAGUUCCCAUUUUUGCUGCGGGAUGUUACCUGACCUCCGCAUGACGUCAGAAUUGGGGCAAUUGUUUCAUAACAAGGGGAGUUCCCCCAGAGGACACUCUAAAGGUGGGAGGAGCCUAAAGGACAGGAGUGAUGACGUCCCUUGUCUGGAAGCUAACCAACCCUAUAGUGCUCUCCCUCUAUGUGUACCAUUCUGUGAGAGGAACAAAACCUCUCUGAAGCCUCCACCUCCCAGCUUCAUGGACACGGUCCUGGGAUCCAGUCUUCUACCCUCAACACCAGAUCUGCCAGGUUUUCCGUCCCACUCUUAUUUUGUUGCCUUGGGAUAAAGCUGACUUCUAUCAAGCCACGUCAAAGACCCUCGAUGUGAGCUCUGGAAUUCAAGCCCAGUGCAAGCUCUUUAAAGUCAUGGAUCUCAUCUGAUCACACCUCUACACCUUCCUCAGAGGAUGUCAUUCAAGAAGUUUUUUAAGAAAAUAAGGAAGAGCUACUUUUUAAAAGGACAAGACGCAUACGUGACAACAGUCCACCCAGAUUAUUGUGAAAAUGGUCUCUUGAUUUUGAAUCACUGAGAUGCCACGUUCUCAUCCAUUACCUGCAAGGAACCUGGAAGCAAUCUCUCUCACCAUGAGCGUUCAUUUUCAUUUCCACGUGUUGGAAGGGUCAGUCAUCUAGACCAGAACAAAAAAAGAAAACAAAAAAAUUAAACUGAUCAGGAGAUCACUGAAUGAAUCAACCAAUAAAAUUUUAGAAUGCUUUGUGAUUGUAUGAUAAUGAAAGAAUCUACAAUGAUAAAAUGGCUCGCAAUUUGAAUUUACAAUCCCUACUUACUCCAUAAAGCCCCAGCAUUUUAGAGGCGAGAUUAUCUUAUUCACGAGGCUUCUGCCGGACUCA